GUGGGCGUUGGAGCCCAUUGUCGAUUUCGUCCAAUCCAUUUUAGCUUAAGCUUCGGUGGGUCAUGCUUUGCGGCGGGGGUCGUUGUGAAUUUUCUCCCGUGUAGCGUCCAGAUCGAGCGCUUGGGAUCUAUGGAGUACCGAACAGUCCGGUGCUUUGGGGGUUUGACGUCGCUCUUAACGGAUCGAGGGGCGUUUGAUUUCUUUCUCGAGUGGUUGCAGCUCGAUGCUCUGCGAGUUCCCUUUCAACUUGGUCCAGUCUGUUAGCAAUGGUUUGAUUGGCGAUCCUUAGACUACGAAUUUCGUCGAUUAGAGUCGUCAUCAUUCCUCGAAGUUCGGUUAAUUAUCCUCGAGUUUGGGCUAGAGGAGUCGGCGAAAUCGGUCUGGAUUGGGAUCAGGUCAGGUCAUCAGAGGAUUGUCUGUCUCCGGAAUGGUUCCAGACUCGAGCUCCAGCUCGUUCCGGGAUUGACGUCUGGUUGAUCGGAGGAGAUCGAUCUUGACUCGAAGUCCCGAUUGGAGGGAUUCGUUGCGUCUGGGCUGUUUCGGUCGUGUCAUUUGCUCCCGUUAACCCAGUUGGUGUCACUCCGUUUCCCGAGUCGGGUCCGAUAGGAUCGAUGUCGUUGACUCUUGAAGGUGCGGUUCCGGUGGUUUGGUUAGGAUCCAUAGUCGCGCUUAAGAAACUUAGAUCGGUUUCCUAGCAAAGAUAUUUUUCGUUUAUCUUCCCCACAGUUGGCGCCAAAAUGUAGAACCUAAAAUCUACACUAAGUAUUUGAUAGUGAUCGGAAGUUUGAUCUAGGGAAGACAAAAGAUGUAGGCAACGAUAUCUUUAGAACACAACGAUGUUAACAGUUUCCAGUAGACAAAAAUAGAUUUUAUUGAUGAAUAGGAUCGAAUACAAUAAGUUGAACUAGAUCGAAUUACACAAGUGAGAUCGGUACAGAAAAGGAUCUAAGAACAGGAGAAAACAAGGUCGAUGUAUGUGUGUAGCUCUCUCUAGGGUUUUCAACGUCUCCCUCUUCAUGUCCCUUCUUCUUCCUUUACAGUAAGUCGACCUCGUGAUGUUCGUAACGGUUACGAGAUCUCCGUCUCUUGUUCCGCGAUCUCCGACGACCUCGACGACUCUUCUUCAAACUCGACUAUUUGCUAUGGGCUUCAGCUCCUUAAGGCCCAUGUCUUUGAUCGCGGCCGGUUAAGGUAUUACCCAAAAUUGGGUCCAACACAGAUCAUCAAUGAUCCAACCAAGUUCUGUGUCGCCCAUUGAGGAGUUUCACACUGCAUCUGUGAAGAUCGAGCAUAGAUCGGGGAAUCUGGGGUGUUGUUCAAUUCUGAUCAAAGGCAUCGACGGUUUCAGAUUUCAGGGGGGUUGAGCCAUCAUCCAUUAUCUGGCGUCGGAGAUAGCUUUCUGGAAUGUUUCUACAGGGGCAAAGCUCCGUUUUUCAAAGAUGAGAUGGUUCCUUGAGCGCCAGAGAGACCAACAGAUCCAUGCUGAUAGAGUUCCUACUCCGAUUUCCACUGGUGGCAAAGAAGGGACACUGCAACAGGAGGUGCGUCACUGAUUCUUGUACAUUGCAUCUUGCAUAGAGAGCAGAGAUAGACUAGAGAGCCAGUCGGGUACAGCAGCUUGGUAUGUGGGGAGUGUCUCGGAGCUCUUUUCUGUGAUUUCAGAAGUACCUGGCAGGAGCAGAUCAGAGACUUUGAGUUGUUGUAAUGCCUCUGGUGCUGGUCAAAAAGGAUUAAGCUGCUCGCAGUGUGAGAGCCACAGAUCAUCCCAAACAUUAAUUGACUCUCCUAUUCCCACCAUCCAUCCCAGCUGCUUAGUAAGGAGAUCUCUGCCUAUUAAAACGCUUCUUCAUCCAUGCGAGGAAGAAGAAGACGCAUGACAUUUCAAAAAAGGUUUCGAGUGACAAUAUUUUUCAGAGUACGCAGCGUGCAAGGAGACAAGUAGGAUUCUUUAAAAUACGUCAGCUAAUCUUCGCCAGUAGCGCAUUGUCGAAGGAGGUUCUAUGUCUCACCAGAAUCUGGAAAGAGUUGAUUGGAUACUCUAGGAAAUGGAUUGUGGGAGUUUGAAGCAGGACGUAGUGUGGGAAGACAUUGGUGCCAAGACGCUUUUCAUCAUAAUCAUCUUCUUUGUAUUAGAUAAGAACUUUGUAGACCAGCUAGCUGCUCUCUGCUAAAUCAUGUCGACAACAAAGGCAAACAAAUCUUUCUUUUCACUACCAAAGUAUUCAGGGAGCCCCAUGUAUUUUACCUA